UACGUAGGAUGCAAGCGUUGUCCGGAAUUACUGGGCGUAAAGCGUGCGUAGGUGGUUGUUUAAGUCUGUUGUGAAAGCCCUGGGCUCAACCUGGGAAUUGCAGUGGAUACUGGGCGACUAGAGUGUGGUAGAGGGUAGUGGAAUUCCCGGUGUAGCAGUGAAAUGCGUAGAGAUCGGGAGGAACAUCCAUGGCGAAGGCAGCUACCUGGACCAACACUGACACUGAGGCACGAAAGCGUGGGGAGCAAACAGG
rnacentral:rRNA from 1 species